CACUUUCGUUAUAGUUAGUGCAUUCACUAAGCUUAGGCACACGGGACAUUUAGGGUUAAUGUUAGGGUUCAAAUUAGGGUUAGGAUUAGGGACUUGUUUUUAUUUAGUGAUAUUUCACAUUAGGGGAAUAUCUAUAAAUUGUGAAUUUUCACACUUUAUUUUAACCCUUACCUCAAGGGUUAGGGUAGGAAUAGAGUGUGAGAGAUGUUAAAAUAACUCACCUAACCCUAAUUUGAACCCUCACUUAACCCUAAAUGUCCCGUGUGCCUAAGCUUAGUGAAUGCACUAAUUAUAAUGAAAGUGUAAAACUAGCUUUACUUACCUUCCAGGACCUUGCUGUGGAGGAGUAGCAGGAGUGCUCGCACGCAUGUGCAGCACAGGAUCCAGCUGAUUCCCCUCACCGGAAGUGACGAGGGUAGGGGAUUUUCACAGGGUAGAUUUUUAUAGAACAUCGGCCUUGUGAGAGGAUAGCCAGGACAGAGGUUACUAAUUCAUCGAACACUUUUACUUUUGGGUAAAUUAGCUUGGCAACAAAAAUCGAACUUUGCUAAAGCCAAAUUCCCCACUUUAAAGUAGUGCAUUCAGUAACAUGACCUACCCAUUGUACAGUGCUAUGGAAUUUUGCUGGCGCUAUAUAAAUAAUAAAAUAAACAAUCAUUAAUAACCGUUGCAGUGUAUAUACAGGUAGGUAUAUUACUUAAGAAAUAAUGUCAUGAGUAAACACUGCUUCUCUAAUCUCUAGAUGAACAAAGUUUUGAAUAUGUCUGCUGCAGGUGCUUUUCCAUGAGACGUUACAAUGGGAGUUCAGCUUUGCCUAGAGAAUGUGAUCUCUAACAUCAUUUGGCACUGCUGACAUUCAGUGUACAUUCUUCUUGACAAAUUAGAACUCCCUGCUGGCCAUCUGUUGAUAGAUAUACAAAGGUUUAUUUGUAACCAUUUCUCAAUUAGGCACAAUUUGACCUAUUUUAAAGAAAAUAGAGAAAAUGUCCAAUGUUCAUUCUUUAUCAUCACCACCAGCCCAAUUUUACAUCCUAAUCAGUAGCCUUGUUCUUGGCUAGAAAUAUUCUUGUAGGUAAAGGUAAUUGUUAUGUGUGUAUUUGCAGAACUGGUGGGUUUACUUGGAGUCUUUGUGUUUAGUAUAUCCACCUCAAAUUCCAAAAUAGGAAAUGUAGGAUUAUUUUUUUUUUGCCCCUUCAGAGUGCAUAAAAACAGGAGGCUUUGAUAGUUCUUUGAAUGUCUCAGUCUCUUAAUUAUAGAAAUACACACAUUCCAAAUCAAUAAAACCUUCUAGUAAACAUUGACAUUAAGGAAGAUAAAUGAAACAACUUGAUGAGAUGGCUAAUAGUUUAAAAAUAGUACCGGUAAUUACAUUCUUGUAGAGCAGAGAUGUUCCAAAUUGAGUCCGGUACAUUAUCUGUAUUCAGUAAGCAUGUAUUAGGAUUAAAUUCUGCUGUAUUUUAUCCUUAUUUAAUAGGUUGAACGUAAAAAAGUUGGUUAACAAGGGUAAUUAGCUUUUUUUUUACUUUUGUAGUAAGAAUAUGAUCCACUUUACAUUUGUCAUGUUACAAUGAUAAAUAACUUGUGGAUAAGAUGUUAUGUUAUUUUUGGUGCACAUUAAUCCAUGUAUAUUUUAAAUAAUGGAAACCUUGCAUUUAAAAAUGCUUUAAUGUCCAGAAUUAUUUAAAUAAAUUGCUCAGCUAUAGUUAAUGGUUUCAAAGCAUGCAAAAACUCCUCCCCACGACAAUAGAUUUUUUUAUUCUUUGGAUCUGUUUUUUUUUUUUUUUUUAGAAGGAAUAUAUUUAUAGUUUCAGCCCAGCAGCAUCUCUGACUGUCACAAACAAUGGCCUUGUGAUAUGGGAGCAUAAUUUUUCAACCUGCUCUCCUUACUUGAGGACAAAACAGGCAACACGUUAAUAGCCAGACAAAUUAGGCAGCUGCUCUUUCAAGUUAGAUUUAAGAUUAUGAAUUUAUAGAAGAAGAAAAAAAAUCAUUCUUGUACAAUAAACUUUUUUUUUCUUUUCGUACUGUAUUUUUAUUUUCUUGCUUUUAGGUAACAAAAAAGUAAAAUUGGAGGUAAUUAAGCUUAUUUUUUAAUGGUGCUACUCAGCCUGAUACCAAUGAUCAUAAUGUGACUUUAAUACAGAUUACAGGUCUGAGUGAUGUUUCUACUUGUCAUAUACCUCAGCACUAGUUUGGCAGUAGAACAUUCAGUAAUCGAGUGGAAGAGUAUUGCAUAACACCAGUAUUCCCCAACCACCUAGGAAACAAGAAAUAGCUAAACAAAGAAAUUCAAAUGUUUCUUAAUACUUGAUAUCUUAGCAAGUAUAACUUGAACUUCAAUCUUUUCUUCUAAAAAUUCAGGGAUAUUUCCGCUUGCAUUCUUAUUAUGCCAAUGUAUCAUGUGUUUCUGUGAGGUUGUUUAAGGCUAAUACCGUUUUUAUUUUGAUAUCUUUCUCUUUGGGGAUAAUGCUGUUUCGUCCCUGUUUUAAGUUUGCUUUUACAUGUUUUCACAGUUGUAAAUUAAAACAUGUUGUAAAUGUGCUGUUUUUUUUUUUCUUCUUUUCUUGUAAAUAUGUACAGCUUAGGAUAUUUGUUUCAAUUUCCCCACAAUUAUGAAUGCACUGAGCUUAAAUUAAAGGGACAAUUUUAAGGCAGGGGUUUGGCAAGUGACAGUCUUACAUGAUUUAGGUACCAUACCAUGUCACUGGUUUAUACCAGUGUUAUUUGCCAUUGCCUUGGAUUCUUCAAAUGCAUGCCUAAUUUAGCACUCAUUGAAAUGGCUGUAAUGGUGAAGGUAAAUGUAGUGUGAAUUCUGAAGAUAGAACCUCAAUAUGAAUUAUCAUAUUGGGAGGCUAUUUAUUUCAUGUUAGUGAUGAGCUAGCCUUAGGACCCCAGGUAUUUGUCAACUGCAUUACCAACAUGCUCCACAGGUCUAAAAGCAAUCUCUGCUAAUCUUUGAACCUCUUCCCCCCCCCCACCCCCUUUGUAGUUUACACACAAACAUCAGACUCAGCUGUUCUAGACUAUGGAGAUCUUGUGUCUGUUGUGUUUGUUUUAUCAUGAGAUUGAAAUAAGUAGUGAGACCUUCAUAUCCAUGUACAUGUACACUGUUGAUGGAUGAUAAGACUAGAGCUGAUGAGAUUAUACUGAAAUGUACUCUACUUGCACAGUUUACCUGUGUGUUUUAUCUCUGUAAAGGUUUGACAUUCUGUUGGAAACUGUUACAAUAGUUACAUGUAUGAUUGGGCUUCUGUCUUAAACUAGUUGAUUAUAAACAUAAUUUUAAAAGUCCUGCUGUGCAAUAAUCAGAAUGCUUGGAAUUGUCCUUACAAAAUCUCACUGCAAUUAAUUGUAUUAUGUUGUCCUCUUUAUAUAUAAUUUUUUUUUUAAUUAUUAUUAUUUUUUAUACACAAGUCACGUAUAUUCAGAGACACAUUUAUUUUUAAAUGAAUGUGGUGCUUGCACACAUGGGAAAAACCUUUUAAAUAUGUAUUGUGCUUGUUUACAGAAGUUUUGUUUUAAACAUAAAUAGGAGAAUUUCUGUUUAUCUUUUCUAGAUCUGAAACUCUUAAGGUAUUUGCAAAAACUGAUACGUGAUUUAUAUUUGUACCAAAUUUUAGAAGCUGUGGACUUCUGGGUGCACAUUUAUCAUUUAGCAGGAACUUGAUUGUAUUGAUUGGCAAUGGUAUUCAGGUGCUUGUUCUGUGAGGAUAGUUAGACUUAAUAGAAAUGACAUCAUCAUUUGUCAUUUCUGUUUUAUUUUAGACACAACACACACCGUCAUUUGCCAAACUGCUUGUUAAAAGUGUGUGUGUGUAAUAAAUUUUAUAUAUAUAUAUAUAUAUAUAUAUAUAUAUAUAUAUAUUAUCAUAAUAUAUAAUUUAUUACACAGCAUGUUAUGUAAAUAUAGGCUGUAAUUUUGGUGUACAGAUCUACAUGUAAAAGCAGACAUGAUAUAGCUUGUAUAGGAAUUUGCCAGGUUGAUUAUAGCCAUACUUGAAAACACUUUGAGUGGUGUCAACUAUACUUGAACGAAUCUUUUCAUCUUGAUGCAUGCACCACACUAUAUAUGUGUGUGUGUGUAUGUGGGAUUCACUUCUAAGCUAAUGGUUGACUUGUACAGAAAAUCAUGCAGUUUGACACUAAAAGUAAUGAAUUUUGCGUGCAUUUUUUUUUUUCUUUUUACAUUUUUUUUUUUUUUUCACUCUUAAAUGGCAGCAAGAUGUGGAACGCACUGCAAAGCAAAUGCGUUGGGUACACUUCUGGCAUUCAAGACCACCAUGUUUUGUUUUUCAUCAAAUGUUGGUAUAUGUAUAAAACCUGAUGAUGGUUAUAAAUACUGUAAGUAUUGUAAUGUAAUGAUGCAGGCUAUUUGAAUACUGUUUAUUAUAUCAUUCCCGAUAAUACUGAGAUGUGGGUGUUUUUAAUAAAAAAAAAAAAUUAUAUUUAUUUAAUGCAUUUUAAGGCUGAGUUGUGUAUAAUUUCUUAAAUGAGGUGUUUUCUUGUCAAUAAAGCAUAUGCUGUAAAAUGGUUUCAUCAGAUGUUUCGCACAAUGGCUUUUAUUAGGUUUCACCAUGCAUUUCCCAGACCAUUUUCUAGUAACUUUGUUCAAAUAAAGUUCCUUUUGGGAAAAAAAAAAAUUUUCACCUAACUACACCAAACAUAUACUUUUCAAAGGUAGACGAUAUUGUUGGUGUUAUUCAUCAGACACUCAAUGCAAAAGUGAGAAUUGUUUUUAAAGCGGCACUGUCACCGCCUUGGGAUUUUGCAGAAUUUGCCAGAUGAAGGUGAGGGUGCAUACAUGAGGGUACAACUACAGACCGCGAGAUUCUCCAUAGAUAGGCUCAAUUCCCUGCAGUCGUCAUUAAUGACAAGUGGGGGGAUUGACACUUCUAGACGCCGUUAGCUCCGCUUAGUGUCUAGAAGUAUAAGACAGAGAAAAUAUCCAGAGAAAAAGUAAUCCCCACUUU